rnacentral:lncRNA from 1 species
ACGAGAAUCAGCACAGCGUCACCUUACACAAUUUUGCACCCUAGCAUUUACGAUGCUUUUAAAACUGCUUUCAUCAACGCGCUUCCAAAGAAUGUGGCACUUGUAGAGUCUCCUAUGAAACAAUUUGGACUUUGCUUUAGUUCGAAAAACAUUAAAAGUACCAACGUUGGACCAGCUGUUCCUGUGAUAGAUAUUGUGUUGCACAAGCCGAGUGCAUUUUGGAGGAUUUAUGGAACAAAUUCAGUGGUACAAGUUAGUAAGGAUGUUAUGUGUUUAGCAUUUGUGAAACAAGAUGAAGAAAGGGAACCAUCAAUUGUUAUAGGAGGACAUCAAUUGGAAGAGAACCUAUUGAUAUUUGACCUUCCUGGAAAGAAGAUUGGUUUCAGCUCAUCACUUAAACUUCAACAAACAUCAUGCUCUCAGUACGACAAUACCAUUCUAGGCUAAGCCCCUCUAUUCUAUAUAUGUAAUUUUCUAUUUCAAUAAUAAACUAGAUGGUCGGUGCCCGUGCAUUGCAUAGGCGUAUGACUUAUAUCGUUUUAUAUGUUAUUCUUCAUAAUUUCCUAUUUGGAUAAUAAAUUAGAUGUUCUAACUUCUAUAUACAAUUGAUAAACCAAUGUACGAGAUCUAUCAUUUUGCUGACUCAAAGAGUUGAUAGUAUAGUCAUGCAGUCCAUGGAUCGAUCCUCUAACCGGCUAUAUAUUUAGAUUACCAUUAGAGCCGUCAAUAUGGGCUAGGCUCGUUGGACUGGCUUGACCUAGUCUGUGAUUUGAUAGGGCUGAACUACGAGUUUUGGAGCCCAUUUAAGAAAAGAGUUUUUUAGCCCGGUCUGAAUAAGUCUGUCGAUUUGUGGAGCUUGAGAAAUAUGGAUAGAGCCGGUCCAUGGGCCAAAUAAAAAUUAAUUAAAAAAUAAUAAUAAGAUAGAGUAUUAAAAAUAACAAGAGUCUAAACUCAAAUCUGUUUAAAGUUUGAAAUAUUACAAUUUAAAAUCGGUCAUAGUUUUUGUGUUUUAUUACGAUCAUUGGAAAACAAUUAGGUUAUAUUUCUAUUUAGCUAUUUAUACUUUUACUUGAAAUCAAACUUAAUAAAUAUUAUAAAGAUAAUUUUAUUUGUGUAUUUAAUUAACAAAUAGUAACACUAACACCAUGUAAUAUUGUCUUGUCGAUAUUUAUGAUAAUAAAAAUUAUAAAAAAUAUACUUUUAAGAAAAAAGGGUUGGCCCGGCAAAGCCCGUAGCCCACGCACUUGUGGGAGCCUAUAGCCCACAUACUUAUGGGCUGAGCCGACAAUUUUCUAGCCCACACAAAAAAUGGGCUAGUCCGGCUUGGCCCGUCAAAUUUCAAAGCCUGUAUGGGUUAGCCCGGAUGGGGUGGGCCAACCCAUAUUGACAGCUCUAAUUACCAUCAUGACUACAUCUAGAGCCGUCAAAAUAGGUUUAGCCCAUGGGAUCGGUCCAAUCCAACUCGUUAUUGGGGUACGGUUGAGAUAGAUUUUUUCAAGCCCAUUUAAAAUUAGGGCUUAUGAUCCUUUAGCCCUUAAGGCUUGAUCAGGGCCGAGUUGGGGUCGGCCCAUGGGCCAAAACUAUUUAUUUAAGAGUAACUUACAUAAAUUUCUCUAGUGUAUGAGCUGAUUACUUAAAGGUACGUUAUGUUGUAAUAUUACGAAUCUUAUCAGAUUUUGGUAUGUCCAAAUACAUGUAUCUCGGGAUACAUGGACUCAAAAUUAGGUUAAUUUGUUCUAGAUACACUCUAUCUAGGAUACAUAGAUAAAUCUCGCACCCUCGCCACUCUCUAAUCUCACUCGCGUAUCUGGGGUGCAUCACACCAGAUACUGAGAUACAUAUAUCUAGUAUCCAAGAUACAUGCUAAUCACACUAUACUUUUUGCCAGUGUUAUUAAAACAACACCAUUAUUUGCCAUAUUUGAUUUGAAAAUCUUCUCAUCUUCUUGAUGUUAUACAAUUUUAAGUUUGAAAAGAUAAAAAACAAAAAAAGAAGGGCUAGCCCACCCCAGCAAGAAUAAUCUAACUGAUUUGUUCCACAGAACAUAUCAUACUUUCCUUAUCUCACGUUCUAUCUCUAAUUUUGUUAUAAUCUCAAAUUCCAUUAGCAAUUAUCCAUUUACCUAUUGGUAGCUAAGCAAGUAAGCAACAGAGAAAUAAGCAUAGUAUUAAGAGGAGAAAACUUUGACCGUAAAAGUCCGCAAUAACAACCAAUAUAUCAAAUUAUACAACGUUCAUAGUAUGGUCAUAACCCCCUAAAAAGGACUUUUAGUCAUUUAAUAUCUGAUUACAAAGCAAUAAUUCAAAUAAGAAAAAAGAAAUGAAGUAAGUAAAAAGCAAGAAAGUAAAUCCUAGAUAAUUUGCUCUUUGUUAUUGCUCUGUGCCUCAACAUUCAACAAUAUUUAUCUCCCUUUAAAAAUGAUUAAGGAUGAGCAUUUAUAAUAUUUAAUAAAAACAUCUAGAAGGGUCCUCCAAGUCGAUCUAUUCAAUCCAUUUCUCCUUUAAACCAUGUUACAUAUUUAAUCAUAAUUUUUUUAUUGAUAAACAAGAUCUGCACACAUUUUGUUACCGCACACAGAUACAAAAUAGUCUUUUUUUGUUUUUAUAAUCUAUUUUCACAAAUCAGGUAGCUAGUCCCAGUACAUCAAUACUGGUGGUGGUUAAUUAACUGCAUUUACCUUUUGAGCCAACAGACUAAAAAAAACCUCCCACUAUUCUUGUUUAAAAGGAUAUUUUGAAAAACUUAAAAUUUAAUUUGGUACAUAGUUAACUCUACUACUUUCAAUAACUAUUAAGUACUAUAAGUUUUGAACCCAUAAUAACACAAAUGCGAUGAAAAUAUAAACAUUCAACGACCACCACAUGAUGGGCGGCCUCCUUCCUUAAUCAAAGGUUUCGGUUCGAGCCCUGAUAUAAAAAAAUCUUUACCCCACCACUUAGUCCCGAAUGAAGCCCUAUACAAUGUAAAUUCGAAAUAGUCAGAUUUCAACGUCGAUAAAAAAAUAAAAUAUUCAACGCAUUAAUUAAAUUCACGUUUGAAAAUUGAGAUUAGAUGUCAACAUCAAGAAUCUCAAAUACGCGUAUAAAUCUGUCCAUGUGCAUGAGAUAACUCCAUGCUGACUAGAUUUUAUUCAAAGUCAAAGUUUUGACUUGUGAUCAUAUACUCUCUCCUGUACAUUUUACUUUCUUUUGCACACAGAAAAACAUGAAUUAAAAGCUACUCCCUGUCCCAAUUUAUGUGACCUACUUAUAAAAAAAAUAACAUAUUUUUAUAUUAAGUAAUAAUUUAACUAUAAAUGUCUAUUUUACCCUUAAUGAAAUGAUUUACAACCACACAAAUUUUUAUCAUUCAUUUUGGAUCACAAAUUUUAAAAGUCUUUCUUUCUUUCUUAAACUCCAUGCCGAGCCAAACUACCUCACAUAAAAUGGGACGGAGAGGGAGUAAUAUAAUUUAAUUAUUUUUAUUUAAUUUUAUUUUGAUCUAUUACUACUUUUUUUAAUCAUAAUAAUUUCUCUUUAUAUUUAUUGAGUAAUUAUCAAAUUAAAUUUUUUGUUAUUAAUUUUAUUUUGAUUUUCUUGAUCGGACUAUUUUUGAUAAACACGGCAUCUAAUAUGGACCAGAAAGAGUAAGAAAUACGGAACCAUUAUACAGCUUCACUAAAUGUCAACGGAAAUAAACAAAAGAAUCCAUAUAGACUAUAGUUGUCUAAGCUUAUUCUCUUACUAUAAAUUUGCAACUCCAUACUUAGAAUUUCUCAUUGGUCUAAUAAUCCAUUUACUUUUUUGUCUUUCUUUGUUUAGCAUGGUGACAUUCAAACUUCCUUUAUCUAUGCUUCUUUUAUUCCUUCUACUCAAUAUUUUUCUAUGCUCAUCUGAAGUACUAUACAUUCCAGUCACUAAAGAUGCAUCAACCCUAGAAUACAUUAUAGAAGUAGGUCAAAGAACUCCUUUAAUCCCCAUAAAACUCUUAAUCAAUCUUGGUGGUAGAAGCUUAUGGGUGGAUUGUGACAAAGGUUACAAAAGUUCAACUUACAAACCAGCAGUAUGUAAUUCCACACAAUGCACUUUUGCCAAAUCUCAUGCCUGUGGAGAUUGCAUAUUCAAACCUCAAGUGCAGCCUGGAUGUAGCAACAAUACUUGUUACAUUUGGGGUGAAAAUCCAUUGAUCAAUUCGUUUCACGAUCGCGCUGAAAUUGCUGAGGAUGUAUUGGCUAUUGGUUCUACUCCUGGUGUUCGUGUAACUUGGCCGCGGUUUAUUUUCUCUUGCCUUCUUGAUCAAGAUAUGAUGAGACAAUUCGCGAAUGGAGUCACAGGUAUUGAAUCAUAUAUUGUGUGAAUGCCUUAGUUUAAAAUUUAAAAUUGUCACAUAUAAUUGGUUAAUUGUUAAAUUAAAUUUAUAUGUAUGUAUUUUUAUCUUCUUCUUUUUUUUGUUAUAUUACACAUUAUUGAAUGAACCUUAGAAGUACAAAAAGGAGGCUGUAGGAGCCAUCACCUACCUUGCUCCAUUCAUAACAUAGAUGGUAGGAUUUUAAAUAAAGCUCACAAAAAAUUUAAGGGAUAGACCCAAUAGACAAUAGAAGUCACAAUAGGACCCACCUAAUUCCUUUUGACUUUAAAAUAUAUAACUCAGAGUGUUACAUAGUGAACAAAUUAAAGAAAAUGUCACAUGCAAAGUUUUGUCAUUUUAAUAGAGUAUUUAUUUUUUCUUCUCCUCCUUAGGUAGGUAAGGGGUUUAAUUGCACCAUAAACAAGUGUAGAGCGUAAGAAGUCAACCAUACAAUUUUUAACCCAAUUUGAGAAAGUACAAUUUUAAAUUAUUGAAUUGUAUUAUUUCUUAACAGGAGUUGCAGGUUUUGGACGUGAAAGUCCAGUUUCCAUUCCCAAUCAACUUGCUUUAGACUCUAGAUUCACCAAGAAAUUUGGUAUAUGUUUGAGCUCAUCUACAAAAUCUCGUGGGGUUAUUUUCAUCGGUUCUGGUCCAUAUUAUGUUUACAAUCCUAAGAAAAUCGAUAUCUCCAACGAUAUUCUCUACACCAAAUUAAUCGCAAAUACAAGGGGAGGAUUUGUGACUUCUGAAGAGUAUUAUAUCCAAGUUUCAUCCAUUCGAAUCGCGGGGCAAGACGUUCCACUAAAUAAAACAUUGUUAUCUAUUAAUAAGAAAAAUGGAGUUGCUGGGACGAGAAUAAGUACAGCUACACCUUUCACAAUUUUACACACUACCAUAUAUGAUGCUUUUAAAACUGCUUUCAUCAAGGCACUUCCAAAGAAUGUGACAAUUGUAGAGCCUCCUAUGAAACAAUUUGGACUUUGCUUUAGUUCGAAAAACAUUAAAAGCACCAACGUUGGACCAGAUGUUCCUGUGAUAGAUUUUGUGUUGCAUAAGCCUAGUGCAUUUUGGAGGAUUUAUGGGACAAAUUCAGUGGUACAAGUUAAUAAGGAUGUGAUGUGUUUAGCAUUUGUGGGACAAGACCAAACAUGGGAACCAUCGAUUGUGAUUGGAGGACAUCAAAUGGAAGAGAACCUAUUGAUAUUUGACCUUGUAGGAAGGAAUAUAGGUUUCAGCUCAUCACUCAAGCUUCAACAAGCAUCAUGCUCUAAGUACGAUAAUACCAUUCUAGGCUAAUAUAAGUACCAUUCUAGUCAAUUAAUUAUGUAAUUUCCUAUUUCAAUAAUAAACUAUACGAUCAGUGUACGUGCAUUGCACAAGUGUAUGAUUUAUAUCCUUUUUUUUAUUCUUUUGAAUGUCUUCAAGAACAUCAAAAAGGAUCAAUGUACUUGUUUCAAUAAGAAGAGUAAUACCUUUUUAAUGGCGUAAUUUGGGUGUAUCACUAGACUUGUAGCCAAAUGGUACAUUGUAAAGGAAAGGAUAAAAUAUCAAGAAACCUUCUCUCCAGUUUGUAGAAAUGGUCAGAAUUAGAAUCAUAUUAGCCCUUGCAUAUAUUUGAAUGAUUCAAAUUUAUAGGAAGUCAGUUAUACACUUGUAUCAUGAAAACUAAGAAAAGUCUAUUUUAUCAAAAAGCUCUGUAAAAGCAGAGUACAAAAGCUUAACAACAAAUUGUCAUUGAAAUAAUUUGGUUAGCUGUCCUUAAACAAGUGGAUUUUGAAAUAAAUUCCAUCUAUUGACAUCUAAAGUGAUAACAAGGUUGCUAUAUGCAAAUUACACUCAAUUAACAAAACACAUUGAAAUCGAUUGUCUCACUAGACCAUAUCUUUGAAGUUAGUUUUCAAAUUUGUAAAGAAUUUAUAGUCAAAAUCAAAUGUCUUAGCUCAAAGUUCACAUAAACUGAGAUGAAAAAUAAAGUAAAUUAAUAUCCGCAAGCCGUUGUGCAACAAAUUACUUUCCUUCAUUUAGUAUUGGUACCAAAUUAAAUAACUGAAUUGCAAGCGUCGUCACGAAUUAAAUAUUUCACAUGCGUACAACUACAUAGUAAUUUAUUUUUGUUAGUGCCUUGCCUUCCCCAACCACUGCCCGAUAGGAUAACAAUGGAAUAAUACCCAAGUCUAAACUUUCCCUUUCAAUUUGAACCAAGAGAAGACAAACUAAAUCAAGCAAUACGAAGAAUGGACAUAAAGUUUAUCAACCAAACAAAAAUAAAAGACAAGAAUAAACCAAUCACACAAGACACAAAAAUUUACAUGAAAACCCUUCGAUGUGAAGAGUAAAAGACCACAGGAUCAAAAGCUCCACUAUAAUCACCAAGAGUUACAAGAUUUUUCUCCAAAAUUGACCACAAAACAAGUGUCACACAACGAGCAACAACGGAACAAGAUUGCACCAAAACUAGAGAAUUAAAAGAGAGAAUUCACCCAAAGAUGAACAACUGUUCACGCCCCAAAAUCAGAAACUGCAGACAACCAAAUCCGAUCUCCACCGUUGAAAUUCAAGAACCAAAUGUUGAGAACUCUCAAUUUAAAUUUGAGCACGAUCCAACGAUUAACGAACCAAAUGUUGAGAACUCUCUCUCUCUCUGUUUAAAACGACUCUCUCUUGACUUUUCUCUCUUUUGUGUCUGAAAAUAAGACCUAAACAAGUCUUAUAUAUGCAACAUAAUAUUGGGCUUAUGGGCUAAAGUGGACUGGUCCAAAUAAGACUUCUAUUUAUCCAUAUGGGAAGGGAAAAAGAUCUCAAACCCAUCAAUAAGGGAUACAAACAAGUCAAUGCAACACUAAUGGGUGAAAAUCAUUUAUACCCUUAAACUUUGCUUUUAAAAAUAAACUCCCCCUCAACUAUGACCAAUAGUCACUAUCCUUCUGGACAAGAGUUAAUUCCAAAACUCCACAAAAAGAACAUAUUAUUUCAACUAACAAGAACUCUCUUUUUACUAAUAUUUAUGCACUCUCUAUUUUCUUGUGCUCUCGACAAAGGAAGAACAUCACUAUUUAUAGGGGAGGAAUUCUUCCUUGCAAUGAAUGUGAAGAUAAUGAGGGUAGUAAACUAGUAGAUAAAUGAGCUAGAGGUUACAUAAAUUACAAGAUAUAAUGGAGGAAUAAAGAGUGCAUUAAAAUGAGGAGGCAACAAAUGCCAUCAAUGGACAAUUGUUGCACUAUUCAACGAACAAAAGGAAUUAUGCUUUUGUAACACCUCGCAACUCAACUCGUAGAAUCCAAAUUGUUCGUCGUAAGUAAAUAAGCUAGGACAGGGUGAUGUCCUACUUGUUCUUAUGUGUUAAGGUUCUUUUCUAUGUGUGAGGAGUGUAUUGGAAGUGGGUUAGGGUCAUAAGAAACCUCUAGUACUUAUAAGUUGAGUUCAAAGACUUCCUACCUGCUAAGUUUUUCACAUUAGUUCAUGCAAUGGUCAACUUCAAACGACCAUAUCUCUUAGUAUAUAAGUUAUUAGGUGUACCUUGACCUAUCUAGUUACAGUCUUUUGAGUUUUCUUUCCAACACCACCAAAUUUGCAUCAAACGGAGUUUGGAGUACGUUAUUGACAGUUUUACCAAAGACUACCACAAAAAGAUUUUCAAAGUCCGAUAACUACGAACCUUAUUUACAGGUCGUAAAUUAAAGUACAACCCAUACUAUAAACUCAUAAAACCAGCUUCAGAGACGGAAUUUUUUGGUCUGAUUCUUUUGGAUCCAAUUACGGGUCGUAAAAUCACCUACAGGCCAUAAAUUGAGCCUGUAAAGUGAAGUCCUGCAACUUGUUUUUGGACCUGAUUUUCAUGGAUAUGAUUACGGGUCAUAAUUUGGGUUUGUAGAAUGAAUUUCAGAAACUCAAAAUUUUAGUUUAACUUCCACGGAUGGGAUCUAUGGCCUGUAGAUCAAGCCAUGUAUCAUAGAUGGCCUCAUGAAAUGUUUUUGACAAUUUUUUAAUUGGAGUUAUUUUGUUCUUUUUUCAUUCUUCCUAAGUCUAAGCUGUGACGUUUUAACUUCUAUUAAGGGAAUAUAUUUCAUCAAGUACUUAGUUUUCUUUGUUUUCUACGCUCUCAACUCUCCAAACUCAUAAAAGCAAACCGCUAGAAAAGCAAAGCUAGAGUUUUAAGUUUUUCAAGUAAGUUCUUCUUUAGAUUCUCAAUCUCUCAGGUAUAUAAGGCUUCAAUGAGAGUAUUCAUUCACUCGCAUGUCUAAAGUAUAUUAAUUCUCAAGAAUUUCACAAAAUUGGUAGAAGUAAAACUAAUUUUAUUAUGAAAUUAUGAUCUUUCUUCAUUAGCUUACGUUUUCAUUGUUUCACUUUGGCUUUAAAAUCUUAUUGUACUAACUUAACAUGAUUUUUAUGGUCAUUCAAACUCUUAUGACUUGUAUGCAUGAAAACUAGCAUGAUAUGAAUUUCAAUCUAAAUUCAAGUUAUUUUAGAUAUGACUUUCGAGCUUGUUUCACAUAUGAUUCAAAUAGAUAGAUGGUUUUCAUACCAAUGAGAAUUAUAUGUAUAUAUGUUAUUUUCGGAGGACUAUUUAGCACCGAGAGGACACAUGUUUAGAAAAUUCAAGUCUCAUAAACUAUGUGCCAUCGUAGAAUUAUGUUUCACCGCUUUGACGGUUGAUCAUUUAGCCCUGAUAGGUUCAGAUUAGUGGAUCCACAUAGAUAUGAUGAUAUGGUUCUAUACUCUGGAAAGGUAUAGGGCAGCCCUCCCGACUGGGUUAGUUGUUGAACAUCAUGAGCUCACAUGGUGUAUGUCGAUUUUAAGAAACUCUCCAAUUUAUGCAUCUUUCACGAUAUGAUGUUACUUUAUUUGAUUCAUUUUUAAGUAUGUUAUUUACAUAUAUGAUUAUGAAAGGCUAAUGAAAUAGACUCAUCUCUAUAUAUGCUUUUGAAAGAGGAUUUUGAAUGGUAUUUAGAGAGGAACCCAAUUGUUUUCUCCUCAAGUUCUCUUACCAAUUUACAUGAAUUUGAAAACCUUAUUUCACUAUCCUCGUUAUGUUAUUUUUACGAUUAUGCUAGUGCCCCUUUCUUACUGAGUACAUUCCAUAUACUAAUGCAUACUUUUCUCUGUGAUGCAUCCUUUUAUGAUGUAGAUUUCAGCGCCCAUACUCAAACUCGUGGCUAGUGAGGUUGCAACAGUUCCAGCCAACGAUUGGUAAAUCCUCCUCAUACAGGGAAUUCCUUGGAUUAGUUGUUAGUCAGAUUUUAGUAGUUUCUUUGUUUAUUUGGUUUGAGGUAACUGAGGUCCAUGUUUCGGUAAACUUAUUUCCUUACGUCUAAAUGUUAGAGGCUUAUUUCAGACAAUAGUUGUUCAAUCAUCAUAGAUUUAUUGAUUUCAUUAUUAAAACUUAUUAAGCAUGUAUUUCAUUCCGCAAUAAUUUUAUAUGAUAUGCUUUGAUAUGAUGUAUGUCAAGGAUUAACUUGGCGCCACUCAUAAUUUUAAAUAACGUGUCUCGGUGGGAUGCAGACUCGAAUUGUGACAUGCACAAUUCAUUGAAAAAAUUGUAGCAUAAGAACCAACUCCAAAAUGGAGUAAAGCAGCCAAUAAAAAUAUUCCAAUAGAAGCCAAUCAACAACAAUUGAAAAGGCAGCAAUUAAUUAAAGUAAGGGAAGGCAGCACUUUAAACUCCAAAAAAUAGCAAAUUUAUAUUACUAAAGAUUAAUAUUAAAAUGCUGAAAGACCAACACAUUGUUAUAAUACCUAACAUAUAACUCUGACUAAUUUUCCGUACUCCAAAAGUAUUUUCUUUAUGAUAUAACGCAAUUUGGGAACAUCUAUUUUUUGAUAUUUAAACUAUGUACAUUAUGUUACAAAUUCUUUUAAAAUAUAGUUUCUUAGCAUAUUGAUUUUAUAAGAAUUAAAACUAUUAAUAUUUUGAUGUAAUUGAUUUGAGAAGAAUUAAAAUUAUUAAUAUUUUGAUGUAAUUUUUGAAUAUUUAAAUUUUAAAUUAUUGAGUUAACUUGGUUGAAUUUAAUUUAAAAAAUUCAUUAGCAACUCCCAAAAAAGAAAAAAAAAAGUGCUACUUGAAUUAGAUGAAGAGAGUGUGACGUUGUGCAACAAAAUACUUAAGUAUCAUCACAAAUUAAUUAAGACUACCUUAUAAUUUUCUCUGAAAUUAGUUGUAACUUUUUAAAAUGUUGUAUUUGUGCAAUUUCUCCCAACUUAAAUAGUCAACACAACUAUAGCAAAUUCUUCAAUAAAAUCACUUAUGUUUAUUUUUUAUUAAUUAAGUCACUCAAGUUAGAUAACUUUAUGAUCUACAUUGUGACUACAUGCAACAAAUAAAGAAAUAAAUACAUAAACUUCCUUUCAAAAUUUGAUUUUAUAACACUUAUUUUCUUUGUAGUUUUAUUUGCCUUCUUAUUUCAUUUUCUUGCAAUAAUUUUUAAUCUUGUUAUCAUUAACAUAAAUUUUUUUUUAUAGAUGCCUCUCAAUGUAGAAGAACUACAGAUAUAAUAUAUACAAUUCGAAUUAUGGUCUCUUGAAACUAACAGUCACAUUUGGGGACAAUCGACACAAUUCGAAUUGCAAAUAUAAGAAAUAUUACAAUAUUUAUUUUUCACUUUAAUUAAUUGCUUCGAUAAUUUAAUUUUAGAGGAACUAAAACUAAAUCUAAAAAUUGCAGCAUGGUCCUCCCCGACAAGUUAGGCAACUUUAAAUUUUCCUUACUAUCUUCGUAUUCACACAAACCAAACAAGAAAAAGUAAAUGUUUCUCUUUUCUAGUUGUUAUAAGAAAACAAACGCUUGAAGAACUUCAAUAAUGAUACGAGGAUAAAGAAGGCAGAUUGUGGUGUUGUAGUAAGUACUCCUUCAUAAUUAAGAGGUAAUUACAAAUUUGAAUCCCUACGUACGAAAUUGCAUUUGUUAGAAAACACUUAACCCUAAAUGUGAAAUUUUGGCAUUAAUCAAAAUUUAAUUAGACUUCAGUAUGAAUAUCAGAUACACAUAUAAAUCUAAAUUUAAUUAGACUUCAAUGUAAAUAUCGAAUACGCGUAUAAAUCUAAAUUGAGAUGAGAUGUGAGCAUAACGAAUCUCAAACACGCGUAUAAUUCUGUUUCCUAGUCCACUUGGCAUGUGCAUGAGAUAUCUCCAUAUAUAUGCUGACUAGAUUUAAUUCAAAGUCAAAGUUGUGAUCAUAUACUCUCCUCAUCUUCAUCUUACUGUCUUAGUAGAGUACAUAAGCGCGUCCAACUUGGCAUAAUACUGACAAUUUGUGUCAUAUGCGACAUUCUAUAGUAUUAUAUAUAUCUCAUAAAAUAUUUAUAUUUAUUUGAUCAAUUUUAUAUUAAUUUAAAUAUUUACUUAUGCACAUUCAAAAUUAACGAAUAUAGUGUCAGAUGCAAUAAAAUUAAAAAAAAAACAUAUUUAUGUAUAAUUCUUAUUUUCUUUUUGUACAUAGAAAACAUUAACUAAAAGGUAAUUUUUUUUAUAAAAAAAUAAGAGUAAGAAAUAAGGAAGCAUUAUAGAGUUUCACUAAUGUCAACCAUAAACAAAGAUAUUCAAACAUAGGUGGGCCAUAACUCAUAUAUUGUCCAUAUAGACUAUAGUAACGUUGAAAAAAAAUAAAAAAAGGGGAAACUACAAAAACAAUUAUUACUACUAUAAAUUAGAAUCCCUCAUUGGUCUAAUUAUAUCAUUUACUUUCUUUUUUUCUCUAGCAUGGUGACAUUCAAACUUCCUUUAUCUAUACUUCUCAUUUUUCUUUUACUCAAUAUUUUUCAAUGCUCAAGUGAAGUACUAUACAUUCCAGUCACUAAAGAUGCAUCAACUCUACAAUACAUUGUAGAAGUAGGACAAAAAACUCCUUUAAUUCCCACAAAACUCUUACUCCAUCUUGGUGGUAAAAGCUUAUGGGUGGAUUGUACCAAUAGUACAACUCAUACAAGUUCAACUUACAAAUCAGCUGUAUGUAAUUCUACAGAAUGCUCUAUGGCCAAGUCUUAUGGCUGUGGAGAUUGCAAAUUUAGAAGUGAAUUGCAGCCUGGAUGCAACAACAAUACUUGUUACAUUUGGGGUGAAAAUCCCAUCAAGAAAAUGUAUCAUGAUGGUUCUGAAGUUGCUGAGGAUGUAUUGACCAUUGGUUCUUCUCCUGGGGUUCUAGUCACUUCGCCGCGCUUUAUUUUCACUUGCCUUAUUGAUCCUUCUAUGCUCGAAAAACUCGCCAAUGGAGUCACAGGUAUCAAAAUUGAAACUAUUACUUUCUCUAUUUCAAUUUGUUUCUCUUAUAUUGCAUGUCCUCUUAGUCAGUUUUUUAACAAAAUGUCUUGUUUUUUUUUUGACAAUUUUAAUUUCUAAUUCUAAAUUUCUAUAUGGUAUGUUUAAGAGGCCAAAAUUAAAUGAUAUUUUGAAACAUUUUAAUUUAAGAUCACAAAAUUUAAAGAUUUUUUUUUCAAAUUUUCUUAAACUUGUGUAUCAAGUCAAAAUCAAACAAACAAAACUGAAACCGAAGGAACACAAUUUUUAAUAAUUGAAUUAGUAAAUACUCCUCUCUGUUUUUAACUAGGGUUGUGGUAAAGUGAUAACUACUCAUUUAUCAUUAACCAAGAGGUUUCAGGUUGAGUCCUAUCGAGUAUAAAUUAAAGUCACCUUUGAUAGAGAGCGUUUUAGGUGGAAACAUCUUUCACAAUUCUUAGAGAGAUGGUUCACUAAUAGACCGAGCGGAGUGGGGUGGGGUGAGGGGGGUUGGGGAUUUCAUUAUAAACAAGUAUAAGGGGGUGAACGAUAUCAAUGUGUACAUGAUUUUUUCGGACGAUUUAUAUGUUUCCCUUUUACAUCAAUAUUUUUGGAAUUUUAAUUUGCUUGACACUAUUUUCUUAUUAAUUCAGUCCAAAAAAUGAUAUAUUUUGUUUUAUGUAUACAACUAAUUUAUUUCAAAUUUCUAUUUUAACUUUAAUAUUAUGACAUUUAACACAUUUCAAAAAUCUUAUAGCCAUACGAAUAUUAUAAUAUGUUUAAGGACAGCUUCUGAUUUCAAUUAUGCAUGUUAUGCCUCAACAGGAGUAGCAGGUUUUGGACAAACAACUCCAAUUACUGUUCCCAAUCAACUUGGUUCAGACCCUAGAUUUAGCAGGAAGUUUGGUAUGUGUUUGAGCUCAUCUACAACAUCUCGUGGCGUUAUUUUCAUCGGUCCUAACCCAUAUUAUGUUUACAAUCCUAAGAAGAUCGACAUCUCCAACUCCAAGGAUCUUGCCUACACCAAACUACUUGUAAAUAAGAGAGGAUUUUUACUAACUGACGAGUAUUAUUUCCAAAUGUCAUCCAUUCGAGUCGCGGGGCAAGACGUGCCACUAAAUAAAACAUUGCUAAUUAUAAAUAAGAAACGACAUGGAACUGAUGGGACUAGCAUCAGCACAGCUAUACCUUACACAAUUUUGCACACUACUUUUUACGAUUCUGUUAAAACUGCUUUCAUCAACGCACUUCCUAAGAAUGUGACAAUUGUAGAGCCUCCUCCUAUGAGUCCAUUUGCAACUUGCUUUAGUUCUGAAAACAUUAAAAACACCAAUGUUGGACCAGAUGUUCCUCCUAUAGAUAUCGUCUUCUACAAGCCGAGUGUGUUUUGGAGGAUUUCUGGGGCAAAUUCGAUGAUACAAGUUAGUAAGGAUGUUAUGUGUUUAGCAUUUGUGAGACAAGACCAAACAUGGUUACCAUCGAUUGUGAUAGGAGGAUAUCAAUUGGAAGAGAACCUAUUGGUAUUUGAUCUUCCAGGAAGGAAAAUAGGUUUCAGCUCCUCACUCAAACUUAAACAAACAUCAUGCUCUCAGUACGAUAAUACUAUUAUGGACAAAGUACCAUUCUAGUAUAAUUUCCUAUUUCUUAUAGUAAUAACAAGUUUCAACUACUUUUACAUUAAUAAUUAUUACUUUUAUUUUGUUAUGUAAUUUGCUCAACUAUUGCAACUCAAUUGUUAAAUUU